rnacentral:rRNA from 1 species
GAUGAACGCUGGCGGCGUGCCUAAUACAUGCAAGACGAGCGAACGGACGAGAAGCUUGCGUCUCUGAUGUUAGGGGCGGACGGGUGUGUAACACGUGGAUAACGUACCUAUAAGACGGGUAACACUUCGGGAAACCGGAUCUAAUACCGGAUGAUAUUUUGAACCGCAUGGGUCAAAAGUGAAAGACGGUCUUGCUGUCAGGUAUAGAUGGAUCCGCGCUGCAUUAGCUAGUUGGUAAGGUAACGGCUUACCAAGGCAACGAUGCAUAGCCGACCUGAGAGGGUGAUCGGCCACACUGGAACUGAGCCACGGUCCAGACUCCUACGGGAGGCAGCAGUCGGGAAUCUUACGCAAUGGUCGAAAGCAUGACGGAGCAACGCCGCGUGAGUGAUGAAGGUCUUCGGAUCGUAAAACUCUGUUAUUAGGGAAGAACAUAUUUGUACGUAACUGUGCACAUCUUGACGGUACCUAAUCAGAAAGCCCCGGCUAACUACGUG